rnacentral:rRNA from 1 species
GGCCCACCAAGGCGAUGAUGGGURGCCGGCCUGAGAGGGUGUACGGCCACACUGGGACUGAGAUACGGCCCAGACUCCUACGGGAGGCAGCAGCUAAGAAUAUUCCGCAAUGGACGAAAGUCUGACGGAGCGACGCCGCGUGGAUGAUGAAGGCCGAAAGGUUGUAAAGUCCUUUUGCUGGGGAAGAAUAAGUGUGGGAGGGAAUGCCCGCAUGAUGACAUGAACCGGCGAAUAAGCCCCGGCCAACUACGUGCCAGCAGCCGCGGUAACACGUAGGGGGCGAGCGUUGUUCGGAAUUACUGGGCGUAAAGGGCAUGUAGGCGGUCUGGUAAGCCUGGCGUGAAAGGCCACAGCUCAACUGUGGGAUUGCGUUGGGAACUGCUGGGCUNNNCUUGAGUUAUGGAGAGGGRGCUAGGAAUUCCUGGUGUAGGGGUNGAAAUCUGUAGAUAUCAGGAAGAAUACCGAUGGCGAAGGCAAGCUCCUGGCCGAUGACUGACGCUGAGGUGCGAAAGUGUGGGGAUCAAACAGGAUUAGAUACCCUGGUAGUCCACACUGUAAACGAUGUGCACUAGGUGCUGGGGCGGUAGCUUCAGUGCCGGAGCGAACGUGGUAAGUGCACCGCCUGGGGAGUAUACU